UGUUACUAUUAUCUUCAAUCUCCCUCCUCACCUAAUUAUCGUUUGAAUAACUUGCUUUACCCAAUGAUCAUAAUUAUCUCAAAUGUUCUACUGCAGUCUGUUGCAACAUAUUUAAGUCAUGUUAUGGCUGCAAUUGGAGGAAACACUGCUGGUCCAGGAGAUGCUGUUGUCAAUGUUUACAUAAACCAU